UGGGGAAUAUUGGACAAUGGGCGCAAGCCUGAUCCAGCCAUGCCGCGUGAGUGAUGAAGGCCCUAGGGUUGUAAAGAUCUUUCGCCAGGGACGAUAAUGACGGUACCUGGAUAAGAAGCCCCGGCUAACUUCGUGCCAGCAGCCGCGGUAAUACGAAGGGGGCUAGCGUUGUUCGGAAUCACUGGGCGUAAAGCGCACGUAGGCGGAUCUUUAAGUCAGGGGUGAAAUCCCGAGGCUCAACCUCGGAACUGCCUUUGAUACUGGAGGUCUCGAGUUCGGGAGAGGUGAGUGGAACUGCGAGUGCAGAGGUGAAAUUCGUAGAUAUUCGCAAGAACACCAGUGGCGAAGGCGGCUCACUGGCCCGAUACUGACGCUGAGGUGCGAAAGCGUGGGGAGCAAAACAGGAUUAGAUACCCUGGUAGUCCACGCCGUAAACGAUGGAUGCUAGCCGUUGGGGAGCUUGCUCUUCAGUGGCGCAGCUAACGCUUUAAGCAUCCCGCCUGGGGAGUACGGUCGCAAGAUUAAAACUCAAAUGAAUUGAC
rnacentral:rRNA from 1 species